rnacentral:rRNA from 1 species
GACGAACGCUGGCGGCGUGCUUAACACAUGCAAGUCGAACGGAAAGGCCCUGCUUUUGUGGGGUGCUCGAGUGGCGAACGGGUGAGUAACACGUGAGUAACCUGCCCUUGACUUUGGGAUAACUUCAGGAAACUGGGGCCAAUACCGGAUAGGAGCUCCUGCUGCAUGGUGGGGGUUGGAAAGUUUCGGCGGUUGGGGAUGGACUCGCGGCUUAUCAGCUUGUUGGUGGGGUAGUGGCUUACCAAGGCUUUGACGGGUAGCCGGCCUGAGAGGGUGACCGGCCACAUUGGGACUGAGAUACGGCCCAGACUCCUACGGGAGGCAGCAGUGGGGAAUAUUGCACAAUGGGCGGAAGCCUGAUGCAGCAACGCCGCGUGCGGGAUGACGGCCUUCGGGUGGUAAACCGCUUUCGCCUGUGACGAAGCGUGAGUGACGGUAAUGGGUAAAGAAGCACCGGCUAACUACGU